rnacentral:ncRNA from 1 species
GUCCAAGGCAAACCUAGUGAAAGCUAGGGACGCAAAGUUACCGGUCUAAAGGUUUUUUAAUAAUAAUAAUUACCUAUGACAGCGGAACUGCCGA